UAGUGUCAUGACGUUAUCGACGUCAUGACGUUCUGGUGGGUGGGUCAUCUCUCCCUCAGGAAAGCUGAGUCAGCCAUCUUGAAUUUGCCUUGAUGCGGGGAUGUUUGGGCCGCCCGUGUGGAUGUGGAACACAGUUUAAUUUGUUUUAAUUUGUUUGCAAUGCGCACUUUUAUGCUGCCCGCUUGAAACCACCACCACCUCCGUUUUUAUCAUUAGUCUUAUUGCCCUCGUUUUCUUAAGCGCCAUCUUAUCAUCACCUCUGAUUUGCGGGUUUCCUGGAUGAACUACAUUUCCCAUAAUGCAUGUUUGCCCGGGACAUUGACGGUGGAGGAAGGUCCAUGAGUUUUCGCUGUUCGCCGGUAAUGCAAGUGCGUACUGCUCAAGUGUGUGGUUGUGAGAUCAUCUCGAAAUCCUUUUAACAGUUCAGGAACAACGUGAUGUAAAUAUGAGACGGGCCCUCGUCCUUCGUGCACUUCCUGUGUACCUGCGUGAAGAUGCCUCCAAGUUUUUAAGUGUACUGGCCUCACUAUCAAUCCCUUUGCUUAGCUAUUCAGUCAGCUUAAACAUGACAUCACUCAAAGAACUCUAGGAGAACCAGAGGGGCAUUCCAGAAAGCAGGUUAUGUGAAAACCAUCAGUAUAGCCAAUUGUAUUUUUUCCAACAACGUAAUUUCAAAGUCUGUGUUUCUAGUUUGUCGCCGCAUUGAGUAUGAGAUAAAAUGUUUUUAUAUUUCAUUUUCAGCCGAUUUAAAUAAAACAAAAUAGCCUAAAAUAAAACAUUGAACAACAUUCAACCACUUCCUUAAAGGCUAAUAUAAAAUAAAGUGAUGUUAAAUUCAAAAUGAAAAGACGACUGCAUCUGAAACUCUGUCAGUGAUUUAUAUAACAGCCGCAGCCAGAAAAUGUCUGCUUCCUGUUUUCUCCCGUUGCCAUGGUGAAUAACCGUAUCGGAGCUCCAUUGAUGAUGGCUUUUUACUAGUCGUCAGGCACAAGCUCAACUCCGAGUUAACGUACUCUGAGUCAACUUACCUAACUUAGAUCAGCUGUUCUGUAACUGAAAACUCAGUUUCACUUCACAGGGUAAGUCAACUCUGAGUUCAGGGUUAGGCUCAGUUUGUUGAACCUCCUUUCUGGAAUAGCCCCCAGGACCUGUUUAUGAAGUUUCCUUGAGUUGUUAUUCUGCAAACUGACAUGUAGAAAUUACAAAAAUGAAAAGGUA